UUUACACCUGGCAUUAAAAAGAGUUUUCUGUGAUCAGAUUGCAAUGGGAUAUAUCGCCUGACGUGACCAUUUAAAGAGUGGAACCAGGAGUCACCUGGUGAGGUGAGCUGUUUACAAAGGAGGAAGAAAAGCGCCACAUGACUUCAGCUGAUCAGACAGGUGCUCUUUAGCUAGCUCCACAUUUGGCCAUGGACUUCCAGCACAGAGUUUUCUCAGAUGGCCUGCAAAGAUGGCAUCCUCAUGUCCUCAAAGAGGCCAGAACACAACGUCUAUCAUCUGACAGGCCUGAUAGAAAACAAAAAUAAAAAGUAAAGCCCCAAUGCUCAAUCCA